rnacentral:tRNA from 1 species
GUUUCCGUAGUGUAGUUGUCAUCACGAUAGUGCCUAACACGCGCAAGAUUCCCAGUUCGAUCCUGAGCGGCAACG